AGGAGUCAGAGCAGAGGCGACGGGUGCGUGUAGGAGAUUACAUUGUUUAAUUCCCCUCAAAGGCAAGGUGGUUUCCCAAACGAGCAAUGGUUAUUUGAAGCCUGGCUGCGGGGGGGGGGGGAAUGCCUGGUGUCCGUGUUUCGCUCUUUCCAACAUGAAACUCAUUUGCCUGGAUGCUGACUCAGAAUUUGCAGGCAGGACGUAGGCACCCAGUUUAGCUCAGCCCCGUGAACGACAGAAGAAAACAUCAGGCCUCAGGAGCUCCAGCCUUGCUGGGGAGGAAAAUCAGGGAGGAGUGCUGAAGCUCAAAGAACGCAGUUGCAGUGCCCAGUGACAGCCUGGAUUACCCUCACUGCUCAGGGCCCCUGCUGGAGACGGGCUUCAGUCUUCUGAACGGAAAUACCAAAAGGCAAGCAAGCAUGGUUUUUAGACUUUUCAAGGAAUUUACAAACAUCACAUAUUCCCUCCUCUGUCCGUCUUCUGUGCCGUCACUCUCCUGGAACAACAGUGGGUAGCCAUGGUUGUGGUCCGUGCCACUGCCACGGGGUAAUGUUGGAGGGUCUUGGGCCCCGGAUGGGGCAUCCCACAAAAUGCCCAACUUCUGACCCCAGGAGCUGCGUCUUCUGGCUACAGAGUGUUCUCCCAACCCGAGUGAGCUUUCCGGCCCGAGGCUUUGCAUAUGCCCAGCAGGGUCUGUGUGCUCCUCUUGGAAGAGGCAGAAGCUGAGGCCCAGGGAGGUGAGGAACGGAGGCCAUCCAAGUGGAACCAACAGCUGCAGCAACACCGGGUUCCUUGGCCCGGAUUCUGGGAUUCUUUCCACCGACCAGCUCUCCUGUACGGAUAGCUCAGGGAUCAAAGAAAGCACCUUGAUUUCAGAUUUUCUUCUCCUCUGACUCACAUUCAGGACACUUGCCUCCUUCUAGCUUGGGCCUUGUACCUAGAAAGUUUCCAUCCGAGGCUGCUACCUCCAGGAGGAACAGAAGGUCCCAGUGGGACUUAGGAAAAAUGAGAUCAGUCCCAGGCCCCGAUCUCUCUGAAAAGUUGUUAUUGAAUUCUGUGUGUGGUCCUGACCUGGAUUUAAAGAUUUGCAAGAAGACAAAUUCCAAACAGAUGCCCAUUAGGGCCCUGACAGCCGCAGCUUAAAGAUAACAUUUACAUUCUGCUGGGGUGUGGAUCUCUCUGUUCCCCGCUCAGCCCCUCUCCCGCCUCCGGUGGGAUCAAUACCUCGGCUGAGGUUACAUGGAGGUGGCCACAUUCUUUUAAGCUGUUUGCUCAGCGCUUGGUUUGCUCUGCUAACAUGCCAGGCACUUCUUCCAACAGGCCUGUUUGCCCAGUAUUAGGGCUGUUUGCCGAAACACCUACCCCAAUCCGAGGGGGCUCAGCUUUCCAAACAGUUGGUCCCCACAUCUGUCAAUCAAUAACGCCAAUCGGGUUCCUGAUAUGGACAGCAAGUGUGGCCAAGUCCAAUAUUUGCCCAAACACCGCCCCUUCCCCCUGCACCUGACUCUCCCCCAGCCUGACAAGGCCGACAUUCGCCAAACGCACAGGCUGCUGGGAAGAGGCAAUGUUGGCAGGCAGGGAGCUGAUUCUGGGAAGGAAGGGCACACGAACAAACACGAUCGCUCCUUUAUGGAGGUAAUUUACUGAAAUGCAUAGUGAUUACCUGCUUAUCCAGCCCUGGCGUCAUUAAAAAUGGCAGGCUCGGGGCUCUGGUUUCUCUGGGGCUGGCAGAAGAAAGUGGAUCUCAAGUUGUGAAGAUGGAGGUUGGAUCCGGGGGUUGGCUUGGCAUCGCAGGUGACCAGAGGGACAUCAGGCCAUUAUCAAACCCAGGAAAUCAGCUCUGAAGAAGGACGAAAUGUUCGCGAGGGAGAACAUACCCUCAAAGGACGCUGAUAUUUAGUGGGUGCAGUUUUUUCACAGAUUCGGACUUAGUAGGUUGGUUCACAAUAUUGUGAAUGCACUAAGUGCUCCUCAGUUGUUCUCUUUCAAAUGGUUAAUUUUAUGUCAUGUGAAUAUCACCUUAGUUGGUGGGGAAAAGAAAGAAUGAAUCCCAGGGAGCCUGGGAGGUUUACAUUUGAGAGACUCUGAUGCCUAACUCAGGCUUUGGCUCAGAGUAAACGCUUAAUAAAUGUUUAUUGAAAGAACAAUCUAACAUUUGCACAGUCAACAAAGCUCUUUGUUACACAUGAGCUCAUUUCAUCCUUAAAGAGCCCAGUGAGCUGGGCAGGGAGGAGAAUUGUUCUGUUGUAAAGGAGAAACUGAGGCCGAGAGGGGAGAGUGGUUUGUGUAACGUCACAGGGCUAGUCGGGGUGGUACUGGGACUCAAGCCCCAAAGUCUCUGUGGCCAAAGUCUAUGUUUGUACAGCCUUACUGUUGUGUCUACCUCAUGACUUAACGAAUAUGACUUCCCCCUUCUUUUAGGGUAUUGAUUACUAAAAAUACUUAAAAACUAGACUGUCCAGCAAAGUCACUGAUUCUCCGUCCGAGUUCUACCACAGGACUUGAAAAAUACUUGCUGACUCACUCAGUGGCAGAGACCAACCUCUGGUUGCCGCGGUGACUGUCCAGCGCAAAGCUCGGCUGAUUAGGUAUCAGUGAAGCCCAAGGACUCUGGUUGCGAAUCUGGAAGGGGGAACUGGGGUCUGUGGGUGGCGACUCCCAGAAGGCAUUGCUGGGUGCAAGGUGUCCUCUGGGUGCACGGCACCAAUGGCACCGGGCGUGAGGGAGCCUGGUGCUGGUUGGGCCAUCUUACCACUGUCACUUGUUGGUCUAGGUGGUGAUAGUAUAAACCCUUGAUUAGAAUUAUGGAGAAUUUCAAGACCAUGACAGCUGAGCAUGAAAUCUAGUACAUGUUGCUCUGAGGACAGGGUCUGAGAGACUGCACAGAUCUCUGUGGUGUGGCCCCGGGGCGGGCAUUCGCUGGCCUCCAGGGGAGCAUCUGGGGGUGGGUCUGUAUAAAGAGCCCAGGUGGGGGGCAGGAGGAAUAGAAGACAUCGCUUACUUAGGGCAUCCCCCUUUCCUUGGGGAGAACUCCAGCAUGCUUCCCCCUCACUUCAGGAUCAGAGCAGCCUCCAGACCCACGUGGGUUUCCACCCUGGCUCUACUGCCCAGAAUCUCUGUGACAUGGGUUGGCACACUGAACCCCUCAGAGCCACUUGCUCCUUGGUUAUAGAAUAGUGCUUUUCUCAUCUGGUUAGUGAGGAUCCAAUGAGAAGAUGCUGGGGUGCCUGGCGGGCUCUGUUAGUAGGGUGUGGGACUCUUGAUC